rnacentral:rRNA from 1 species
UACAGAGGUCUCAAGCGUUGUUCGGAUUCAUUGGGCGUAAAGGGCGCGUAGGCUGCGGGGCAAGUCGGGUGUGAAAUCUCAGAGCUCAACUCUGAAACUGCACUCGAUACUGCUUUGCUUGAGGACUGGAGAGGAGAUUGGAAUUCACGGUGUAGCAGUGAAAUGCGUAGAUAUCGUGAGGAAGACCAGUGGCGAAGGCGGCGCUCUGGACCGAGACUGACGCUGAGGCGCGAAAGCGUGGGGAGCAAACAGG